UCAAUUGUUAUUGGAGCGAACCAGCACUGUUUUCCAGGGUUCUGCCCUGUGUCCCGAACGGACACGUGGAACUGAGAAGUUUGAUGUUUUCAGUCACUGAUCAGAACUGUAAUUUCAAAUAUCAAUCUUUAAUUUUUAAUCAUUGGGGCUGGAAUAAUUUUCACAACUUGCACUUGAGGUUGAAGUAAUUCAGUGUCUCACUGAGCCAUGAGCAGAGAUUUCUAACUGAGAAGCAGGAAUUUCACUUGUUAAAGCAGCAUUGUAUUUCAGAGUUUCAGCAUUCUUUAAACGGUCCUUCUCUUCGAGGUGAAUGGGAUCGAUUAAACUGCAAUAGAGACAAAACAGAUGAGUUAACCCUCCUAUAGCAUUUUGGUCUUGUAUUACACCAGGUCUGUGUAACGAGUCCCACAGUUCUGUAUUACACCUGAUCAAAACAAUGAACUGGUCAGUAAGAACCAACACGCCAACAAUUCCUUUCAUCACACAGAUGCUGCUCAAUCCCCUGCAUUUCCACAGCAAACUGUUUGUCUCUUGUUUCUGCCUAAGUUGCCGAAUUGUCUCUUGUAUCUGUUGUGGGCUGAUAUCCCAUGCUGGUAACACAUGCACCUUGUUGUGGAAUACAACGUCAUUUAUUACACCGAAACCAUGCAGCAAAAUCCCUCGUAAUAGCUCUGUAUUGCAAUGAAAUCAUUUAUUAUUCCUUGUAACAUUAGUGAGAAAUCUGUGUAUUAACAAGGGAACAGAAACUGAAUGAGACUUUCUAAAUGCUGCUUCCUGACUGCAUGGGCAUUGAUUUGAAGACCUUCACAGAACAACAAGGAUGUCCACCGAUGUUAAACAGUGAGUUGGUAUCUGCCCUAGGGGCUCUCUGGAGUUGAGCAUCACAGGAACAUUGGAUGGACACCACAACGGAACAUGUUUGAAAGUUGCAAUGAGAAGGGAUGUGUAAGCCGAGUGGCCAUAGACGCAUCAGCGUAAUAGUACGCUGCAGAGCAACAAUGCUAUUGUAGUGAUCAAUCUAGUCAAUUGCCCACAGCUGCUCUUGGAGUUAUUCCUCUUUGAUCCAAGGUGGAUGACCUCAGACUUUGCCUUCCAUCUGAAUGAGCUUUGCCCACGAACGACCUCUAUCAGUAUUCUGUUCCUAGCUAUUCCACCCUCCAAUAACCGUUUCCUUUUCCCCAUAACUUGCUGCGUUCCUCACACAUUUACCCUUCAGUAAAUAUUUGAAUGACAUGUUCAGCUCUGGGUUGGGGGAGCUGCGAAAGUCCAGUACUUACCAGAAGUUCAGCAGAUCACUCAGCCAGAACAGCAAGUUUGUUUAAUUUAUCUUUGAUCAUGUUUUCUGAAAUAAGAGAUAAUAUUAUCUAUUUGACAAAUUCAAUUUAAACUUUUUUUUUAAGUUGCAGUUUCUUUAAUCGAUGUACCGGACACUUGCAUUUCUGGAGAUACCUCCAGUUUGUCUGGUAUACGUUAUACACCGCAAUAGUAUAUGAGCAAAUACUACAACUUCCUCUCGUAAUCUCGAAUCAAAAAAUGACCCACAGAUAAUCUGAGUUGUCACAAGGUUCUGACAUUGCUACCGUCAGUCACGGACUGCGAGCUUUAUGCCUGUGUGUAAAGGGGAAAGAGAAUUGUUGUUGAACAAGACUUCAGUUCCUUUAACAGUAACGCGCAAAAGGCACUGAAAACUUUCAGAAGUGAAAAUAUCCCAGUUCCCAUAAAUGUCUCCUCUCCACGUUUCUGUGAAGCUUCCACUGGGCUCAUUGCUCAGACAACAUGCACACAGAACCCUAUCACCCACCAGCUAAUGAAUGCCACUCCCUAAACUCCAGGUACCCUCCAUUAGAUUGGAUCCAUUCCCCAGUAUCAAGUGCAUUCCAGAAAUGUCCAAUUCUGCCAUGAUGCUGAUCUCCAUUGCCCCAAAUGUCCAUCCUUAAUCUUCACAUCACUGUUGAUUUCCAUGCAUUCAAAUUUCUUUUUUUAACAUUUCCAUAAAAUGUAUUUCAGACAUUGUACAUAUAUAUCAUAUAUGUCACAAAUCUCCACAUAGUAUUUAUCUGAGGUAUAUACUUAUAGAAAAGAGUGGAAAGAAAAAAACAAGCAAAAGGAAAAAAACUAUGUACAAGUAGAGAGUGAUCUUUUUUUAACAACAUUUUCAUUAAUUUGUGAGAAUAAAAUCAGGGCUAUGAGGCAUUAUUUAGUUAAACCAUUUUUCCCAGUAUGAAUCAAAUUUUUCCAGUUUAUGAUUAACAGGUGCUGUUAUCUUCUCCAUUUUGUAAAUGUCCAUUGUAAUUUCCAUCCAUGCAUUUAAAGUUGGGCUCUCCUGUGAUAACCAUUUCCUAGUAACAGUCUUUUUACCAGCCACCAACAGUAUAUUCAUUAAAUAUUUAUCUCUUUUCAAACAUUCUUGAGGUGUAUAUCCAAAAUAUAUGGUUUUACUCUCCAAGGGUAUUUCACAUUUAAAGAUGUCUUGUAGGGCAUUGUGUAUCCCGCUCCAAUAGUCUUUGAUAACAGGGCAGUCCCAAAAAAUAUGAUGAUGAUUUGCAUUUUGAUUUCCACAAUUUCACCAGCAAACAGGGAGGUUACUACCAUAAUGGGAUUUCUGAGAGGGUGUAAUAAAAUAUUUAUCAAGUUUUUCCAUCCAAGCUACCUCCAUUUCUGUGAACUGGUACACUUCCAUUGAUACCUCCAUAUUAUUGUCCAUUCUUCCUCAGAUAUAAUUAUCCCUCCUUCCUUCUCACAUUUAGUUUGAAUGUAUGAAGUCAAUAGUGUUUGAAGAUUUGACAACCCUUUAUACAUGCUUGAAAUGAUUCUACUACUGUUAUCUGAAUUAUAUGCUUUUCUAAAUAGUUCUAUCAAGCAUGUACUUGCCUUGGUUACAUUUUUAAGUGUCUUAUUAACAUAUUGUCGCAUCUGUAAAUAGUGAUAAAAAUCUUGUUUUUCUGAUAAGUGAUUCUCUUUAAGCAUUUCAAAAUUGAACAGUGUUGCUUCUUUCAUUAUGUUGCAAAGAACUGUUAUUCCUUUAGCUGUUCUGUCCUUAAAUCUAGCAUCCAAUUUAUUUGGUGUAAAAUCCGAGUCAUAUGCACACCAUUUAAGAACUGCAAUAUCUUCCUCUAGAUUAUAUUCUUUUAUAGUAGUUUUCCAUAUGUUAAGAGUCAAUUUCACCCAUAGGUUAUCAAUAGUAUUUAUGUACCUUUGCAGCUUGUUAUCAGCCAAAAUUGCUUGUAUGGGGAUGGGAAGUACCCGCUCCUCAAUGUUUUUCCAUUGAGCGUCAUAUGAUGGGUUACACCAACAUAUCACAGCUCUCAACUGUGCUGCAAAAUAAUAAUCUCUAAGAGAAGAAUUUCAGAUUGUUCAGUGACUCCAUCCAUCUCAAUGAUAAAUGAAGUUGGGAUUUGUUGGAAGGAUGAGCUGCUGUUUCUCCCAAACACAUUCAGCACCGCUGAACACACUGAGGUUGGAGCAGAGGUGUCGUCCUUCUUUACUGCCCCGGAGAAUGGCAACAUGGACACGGACUGUAACUUGGGAGGUGCAGCUACAUUCUCUCAUCACCUCUGCCAGCCACGCUCAAUCCCUGAGGAUUCAAUACUGGGCUGGGGCUUGAGUGAGACUGGACUGCACAGGAAGAGAGAAUCGGUGUUGGAGUCACUCACCUGCCCCAGCAGAAUGGAGGGCAACCACAGACAACAUGACCAAAAGCCCGAGAAGGGAGAAUGCCUUCAUUAUUGCAGCUGUGAUGUCGAGUGGUGAGCUGCCGUUCCUCCCGUCCUUUAAAUACCCUCCUCUCAUCACAUCUCAGAGCUGUUCCUCCCCACCUCAGAUUCCAGGAAUAUCUUUAUCGUUUGUCACACUGAUAACCACCAGGUUGUGGUUUUGGAUUCCAGACUUCCUCGAGGAAAUCAAUUAACCAUUUAUGUUUCUGCAGCUGUUUGUCCAUUGGCCAAUGAAACGAGAGACAAUGUGAGGUGACCCUCAUUAGUGUUCAGAGUCCUGUAUUUGCUACACAGUCACUAUGUGUCACUGAGCACUGGGGUUUGCACAGCAAUGAAGCAAAUUUAGAGCCACACUGACAUCAGAAAAUAGAUACUCGCACAUUUCAUUCUUCCUUUGACAGAAUCUUUAAAUAACACACCAGAGUAGGCCCUAGAAUACCAGUGUGUUCCACUAUUAACUAGCCCUCUUCCCCCAGUGCAGGGAUCAGUUCAGGGGCAUUUCAGAAUGGUGAAGAAAUGCUGACAUUACUCUCUGUGUCACCUGGCGUCAAUAAACAAAACUGAUGCACAUGAAGAUUCCGUAUUCUGCCCAGACCAAAGAUCACAACAGGACCAGGAGGAGACCGCUCAGCCCCUCACCCAAUUCAGUGAGGUCCAGGCAGCCCGUGCAUCUCACCCCCUACAGACUGAACUAACAAGAUGCAACUGAUGCCACUCUCAGAAUCAAACAAAUCCAACUUCCUUCCUUACAACAUUCAACAUAGAACAUAGAACAGUGUAUGUUCUUUGGCCCACAAUGUAGUGUGGAUUUUUUAACUACACUAAAAUCAAUCUAACCUUUUCCUUCCCUCUCACAUAGCCCUCCAUUUUUCCUUCAUCCAUGUGCCUAUCUGAGAAUCUGUUAAAUGUCCCAUCAGUGUAAUGAUAGAAAUUUCACACUGACAGCACUGGACAUCAGGAUCAAACAUGGGUAAUGAAACCAUGAAGCUUCAGCUCCAUUAGCUGUGCUAAGCCACAGUUUCAGAGUGACCAGCCUCUUCCUGAAGAUAUUGUCCCAUUGCAGACACUUACCAAUUUUCCAUUCAGUGGUUAGCAAACCUCGUACUGGGAACCAAACAACUCCUGCAGUGCCUCUUCUGUAAUAGACAGACAGUGAUGUGUUGCCAUUGAAUUGAGCUGAUUCCUUAUGUUUCUACCCUGAAUCUGCUGCACAGACUGGAACCAUCUGGACCACAGUUGAGUAUUUGACACAUCUCCCUCCCCUGUCCCACCCUGCUUCAUGUCCCCCAUCAGAACACUGUUCUCCAUUGUCUCUCCAGUGUCAGAUUAAAAACAUCAAUGUAACCCAUUGUUGGAGAAGCUGUUCCCAGAGCAGAGCCAGGGAAGUGGUGGGAGGGGAACCUCACACAUCACUGUCAGCGCAGGGAGAGACAGAAGGGGAUGUGAAUACUUAUCCAGUUCUCGCAUGUCGAGCUCCCUCAGGGGCAGAGUCGGACUCGUACUCCUCACGCAGGGUCUCAUCUGGAAUAAAUACAACAGGGUGUAAGGUAUCCUGACCACUCAGAGUUGACUAUUUCAGAAAUGGCUGCCUGUCCCUCUGUUUAAUGUUCCCCACUGCACUGAAUCCAGAAUGGACAAUGUGUGCAUGGUAUAACAGCAAGGUGAGUAAUGAAUAGAUGGACUGUGGUGUAAAGACACAGUGUCUCUGCCAGGCUGAUGUGUUAUUAAUGAACCAGCACCAACUUACAUGACAACAUUAGUAAACAUCACCAGUUUCCUGUGGACCUGUAUCUGUGACUCUGAUCUCAUUUCAGUAUCCAGCACCUGUUGUCAGGCCUGCACAAGCUGGAACCAUCUAGUCUCCACCCAGAUAACAGGAGUCACCUACCACUCAUUUUCAACUCAUCACCUGCAGCCUAUUUAAAGCUUGCUCUCAUCCACAAUACUUGUUCUUUCAUACGAAUCAGCCAGCCUCAACCAUUUGCUCCUCAUCAUCUAUUACCUUGUUUCCAUGUCAGUGUUGAGUGUCUGUUCUCUCUUGCUUUGUGGCCCCUCAUAGAUUGUAAUUUUGCAGUUUAUUAUUAAAUUGAUCAAUCCCCACGAAAUAGUCUCUGUUGCUCCACAUUUGGGUCAAGUCUCCUCUACAAUUCCUGACACCCGCACACUUUCAGCAAUGGACUGGGUCAUCUGUUAAAGAAUGACUUCUUGUUAAUUCUAUUUUCCACAAAUUGUGUGUCCACUUCCUCCACCCCACCCUCUGAACUGUUGCACUUGGAUCACCCACAGCCCUUUGUCAAAGAUGACUGUUCUGUUCUCUUGCUUCUAAAACUUGGGCAGUGCAGGAAGUUCAAUGUUUUUCUCAGGUUUUACAGAAGACAGAACCAAUCUUUGAAGCCCAUGGUCUCUGCCACACUGUUGACCUGUAAACUCCCUCUCCCUCCAUCCAUCCAUCCAUCCAUCAGUAAUUUGUCCAGUAACUUUAUCCCUUCUGUUAAUUCCACCAGAAAUGGAAGCGUUGGCGUGGACAAACUCUCCUUUUUCCUCCCACACUGAAAGCAAGAAACAAUUUGUCUGAUAUUGUGCUCUUCAGGUAUUAUUCAGAAUUUUAGAUUGUUCAGUGACUCCAUCCAUCUCAAUGAUAAAUGAAGUUGGGAUUUGUUGGAAGGAUGAGCUGCUGUUUCUCCUAAACACAUUCAGCACUGCUGAACACACUGAGGUUGGAGCAGAGGUGUCGUCCUUUACUGGCCUGGAGAAUGGCAGCACGGACACAGAUUAUGACUUGGGAGGUGCAGCUACAUUCUCUCAUCACCUCUGCCUGCCAUGCUCAAUUCCUGAGGAUUCAAUACUGGGCUGGGGCUUGGCUGAGACUAAGCUGCAGAGGAAGAGAGAAUCAGUGUUGGAGUCACUCACUUGCCCCAGCAGAAUGGAGGGUGACCACAGACAACACGACCAAAAGCCUAAGAAGGGAGAAUGCCUUCGUUAUUGCAGCUAUGAUGUUGAGAGAUGAACUGCCAUUCCUCCUAUCCUUUAAAUACCCUCCUAUCAUCACAUCUCAGAGUUGUUUCUCCCCACCUCAGCUUCCAGGUAUAUCUUUAUUGUUUAUCACUCUAGUAACCAUCAGGUUUGUUCUUGGGGCUCCAGAUAAUAAUCAAUCGAGACAAUGUCACAUCUCAACUCCUUCCCCGUAAAGUCUAGAAGCUUUUAUUGUACUCCCAUUUCUUCUGUCUGUUCCUAUUAUUCAAAUGAAGAAAGCAGCUGAUCUGAGAGAGUCGGGAGAAUAUGAAUCGACUCAAGAGUGUAGUGCUGCUGAGGGAAGAGGGGGAAAUUUUGUGACUUUGGUGACUGACCCGGAAGAGCCUGUCUCACCAACCCUGCUUCUCUAUUUUCCUCCACCUUUCAAACCCUCUCAUUUGUGAACAUUUCCCAUCCUCCCUCUGCUCACUCCUCCUACUCUGCCCCUCGGUGCCUCUGUGAUUCUCUAUCCGAUACCCUGCAACAUGUGACACCAGUGAUGCUGUGUCAAUGCCCACUGUCAGUGCUAUUCAUAGGUUCAUGAAAAUAAACUCCCCACCACGAGGGGUCAAAACUUUUCAACAACGUGCAGAGGAACCAUCUUCUGGAACCAAGCACCAGUGAGAUGUUUCCCUUUGUGAAUGCCAGAUUUUCCAUGUGUGAUUGAAUGAUGGAGGGCCAAUGAGAGCACUGGAUGGUUCAGAGUGAAAGACCCCAAAUGAUUCUGCAGGGCAUUCAUUUGCUGCCGGGCACUUUACAUUUGAUCCUGGUUGUAAAUAUACUGGAAUGCUGAUUAUAAGAUUCACAAGGAGAUGAUGUAAGAAACACUGGGAAGGCCAGGCAGCAUCUGUAGCAACAGCAGAGUGGGUUUAAGCUUCAUGUUGAAGACACGUCAUCAUACUUGGUUCCACAGAUGCUAAGGACAAGUGUUCCUGGGAUGUUCUUACUUUUCACUGCAGUGAGGUGUCUCAACUCACUUUAAUCAUGUGUUGGGAGGCUGGUGCGUUUGAUGAUAGCAGAUGCAAAUUGUCCAUCAGUGAAAUGCCUCCACAAACUUUCAGAUAAUGUUUAUAAUGAGUUAUUCAUUCUGAGUUCACUUUAGCUGAAAUUAUGACAUAAAACCAAGUUAAUUUUUCAUAAAUUUGAUAGGAAAGCAGAGAUAUGUACAAUCUAUAUUGAACUUAUUCAGCAUUACUGUGUGCAUCAAAUGUUGUAUAUCAAUGGACCAAUGAGAACAGGGUUGUGUAUCUGUAUGGAUAACCUGUGUUCUGGAGUACCUCUGUAGGGUGAAAAAGAAUGUUGUUAUAAGAACAUAUCAUCAUCAGCAGAUGCCAUGCCCAGCUUGAGCUUUGACUGCCAUGGCCCACACACUCCUGUUUUGGGUCAAGUGGAUCAAUUCAUUGGUAUUCAUUUCCAGUUUUCUGGCUGCUGUCUGCAUCAUCAUUUGUCUUUGCCUUCCUCUUGCUUUCUUCCCUUCAAUCUUUCCCAUAAUUACCAUGCAUUCUAACUCCUCUUUCCUAAUCAAUGUCCAAUGAAGUCACAUUGCCUUUUCAUAAUCUCAUACGUCAUUUCUCUUUUUGUGCUUGCUCUGUUCAUGACUUCCUCAUUAGACAUUCGUUUUGUCCAUGAUAUCCUUUACAUCCUCCUCAAAAAUCACAUCUCUGCUGCUUCAAUUUGUUUCCUCAUGUUACUAGAUAUUGUCCAACAUUCUGAGCCAUAUAGCAUCGCUGGAUAAACGUAAUAUUUCAGUGCUCUGAGGUGGAUUGUCAUGCCUAGUUUAGUGUUGGUCAGUAUACUCUUCAUUCUUGUAAUGGUGUCUUUUGCCAUCGUUAUUCUUCUUUUGGUGUCCAUGUCGCACCUGCCAUCUGAUGUCACCCAGCUUCCUCAGUAGCAAAAGGACAAGACCCCAAAGCCUUGACUUGGUCUUGCGAGAGCAGGAACACAGAGCCUUGGUCUUGAGAGGGUCAGGAACACAGAGCCUUGGUCUUGAGAGGGUCAGGAACACAGAGCCUUGGUCUUGAGAGGGGCAGGAACACUGAGCCUUGGUCUUGAGAGGGGCAGGAACACAGAGCCUUGGUCUUGAGAGGGGCAGGAACACAGAGCCUUGGUCUUGAGAGGGGCAGGAACACUGAGCCUUGGUCUUGAGAGGGGCAGGAACACAGAGCCUUGGUCUUGAGAGGGUCAGGAACACGGAGCCUUGGUCUUGAGAAGGGCAGGAACACAAGGACAUGGAACACAGAGCCAGGACCCCACCUUAGGAACAGGACUUGGGGCCGGGGCUCUACACAGAGUCAGGACCCCACCUAGCGAGCAGGAUGUAGGACUGGGACUCGUACACAGAGAGACGGUUCCCAACACAAGGUAGCAGCAAAUGGCCAGUCCUACCUAGCAAAGGUGUGGACACAGAGACAGUUCUAAACAACGAUAGACAUUUCCUUAUCUAGACACAGCAAAGCUUUGUUUUUGCUCUGGUGGUAGAACUUGACAGCGAUACAGGCGAGGACACAGGCAAAGCUUCAGGAGGAAGGUGAAGGGAAGGGAAGGGAACAGUCCUGCCUCAGGGUAACGGCAAAGACAGCCUGGCUUACCCAACAGAGGCAAAGACAAGAAGAGGCAGAUCCAACCACAGCAUAACAGGAAAGCCAGCCUAACUCACCCUAGAGGUAAGGACAGGAUACUGAUGAGAUGAACCACCAACCACACUUGAACUCAGGGCCACUUAAAUUCCCAGCCCCAAACAAGCAUCAGGUGCCUAUGAUUACGCCCAACUGAAACAAGUGACAGCCAGAAGUCCCGGAGUCUGGAGUCCAUGGACUGGACCGUGAACCAGAAUGCGGACUUCACGGACCAGACCAUGAUAAGUUCUUCCUCCCUACUUGCAAUUAACACUGAGUCAUCCACAUAUCUAAAAUUAUUGAUGUUUUCACCUCCAACCUUGAUUCCCAAGAUGUCUCUUAUUUUUUGUGAUAUUGUUUCACUGUAAA